rnacentral:rRNA from 1 species
UACGCAGGUGGCAAGCGUUGUCCGGAUUCACUGGGCGUAAAGCGCGCGCAGGCGGGCCGAUAAGUCCCGGGUUAAAUCCCCCGGCUCAACCGUGGGCAGCCCCGAGAUACUGUUGGCCUUGAGGCAUCCAGAGGAGAGUGGAAUUCCCGGUGUAGUGGUGGAAUGCGUAGAUAUCGGGAGGAACACCAGUGGCGAAAGCGGCUCUCUGGGGAUGUCCUGACGCUGAGGCGCGAAAGCGUGGGGAGCGAACCGG